rnacentral:piRNA from 1 species
UAGUAGAUACUAUAGUAGAAG